rnacentral:rRNA from 1 species
AACUUUCAACAACGGAUCUCUUGGUUCCGGCAUCGAUGAAGAACGAACCGAAAUAAGAUAAGUAAUGUGAAUUGCAGAAUUCAGUGAAUCAUCGAGUCUUUGAACGCACAUUGCGCCCCCUGGUAUUCCGGGGGGCAUGCCUGUCCGAGCGUCAUUG